ACCAGCCAGGGACAAACAGUACGACGGAGGAACAGAUUGAAAGGUGGAAGAGGAAAUAUGGGGGGAGGAUAAAGUAGGGGAGGGAUGUCACAGGUACCCAGGUGGACAUUAAGAUGGGGGUGGACAGAAGAAGAAGAAGAAUUGAGGUAGAAGGGGCAUAGAGGUGGGUACAGGGAAUAAAUUGAGGUAGAAGGGGGGAUGGAGGUGGGUACAGGGAAUAAAUUGAGGUAGAAGGGGGAUAGAGGUGGGUACAGGGAAUAAAUUGAGGUAGAAGGGGGAUAGAGGUGGGUACAGGGAAUAAAUUGAGGUAGAAGGGGGAUAGAGGUGGGUACAGGGAAUAAAUUGAGGUAGAAGGGGGAUAGAGGUGGGUACAGGGAAUAAAUUGAGGUAGAGGGGGGAUAGAGGUGUGUACAGGGAAUAAAUUGAGGUAGAGGGGGGAUAGAGGUGGGUACAGGGAAUAAAUUGAAGUAGAGGGGGGAUAGAGGUGGGUACAGGUAAUAAAUUGAGGUAGAAAGGGGAUAGAGGUGGGUACAGGGAAUAAAUUGAGGUAGAAGGGGGAUAGAGGUGGGUACAGGAAAUUAAUUGAGGUAGAAGGGGGAUAGAGGUGGGUACAGGGAAUAAAUUGAGGUAGAGGGGGGAUAGAGGUGGGUACAGGUAAUAAAUUGAGGUAGAGGGGGGGAUGGAAGGGAAUAAAAGGUACAAAACAAAGAGAACAAAAUGACAUCGUUAACCUCAGGCCCCUGCAGUGUGGAGUUG